rnacentral:tRNA from 1 species
AGUCUCGUAGCUCAGCUGGUGAGGAGCGUGCGCGUACAAUCUUAGGCGGCGUCCAUGCGUGGGUUCGAAUCCCACCGAGGCUA